UACUAGAGUAGCACUCGCAUAUCAAUAAGCGGAGGAAAAGAAACUAACAAGGAUUCCCCUAGUAACGGCGAGUGAAGCGGGAAGAGCUCAAAUUUGAAAUCUUAAAGGGUUUCCCUUUACGAAUUGUAGUUUAAAGAAGUAUUUUCUGUUGAGGUUUUGGUAAAAGUUCUUUGGAAUAGGACAUCAUAGAGGGUGAGAAUCCCGUAUUUGACCUUUACUUUCAACUUUGUGAUACACUUUCAAAGAGUCGGAUUGUUUGGGAAUGCAGUCCAAAAUGGGUGGUAAAUUUCAUCUAAAGCUAAAUAUUGGCGAGAGACCGAUAGCGAACAAGUACCGUGAGGGAAAGAUGAAAAGAACUUUGAAAAGAGAGUUAAACAGUACGUGAAAUUGUCAAAAGGGAAGCGUUUGACACCAGUGUUGUUUUUCUGAAAAUCAAUUAAAGAACUGUUUAUGCUAAGCUGUUUAGACUUUAUCAGCUAUCUGUUUAGUUUUAGGCUUUUCUUUAAUGCACUUUUCAGUUAACAAGUCAACAUCAAUUUCUUUUGCUGUAAAAAAGCUUGAGGAAGGUGGCUUGAGAUUCGUCUUAAGUGUUUAUAGCCUCUUGCCUAUGCAGUCGGAGAGAUUGAGGUCUGCAGCGUAGAUCCUUCGGGGCUAAAUGCAUUUGUGCUAAGUUAUAGCAUUUUAUAGACAACUUGUUGACUAUGAUUUGUCUUGUAGCUUACUCGCUUAUGUUAUUUUACCUACGCUUAGGAUGUUGAGCGCAUGUCUCUCUCU
rnacentral:rRNA from 1 species